rnacentral:rRNA from 1 species
UACGGAGGGUGCAAGCGUUAUCCGGAUUCACUGGGUUUAAAGGGUGCGUAGGCGGGCCUUUAAGUCAGUGGUGAAAUCCCCGGGCCUAACCCGGGAACUGCCAUUGAUACUAUUGGUCUUGAAUUCAGUUGAGGUGGGCGGAAUGUGUUGUGUAGCGGUGAAAUGCUUAGAUAUGACACAGAACACCGAUUGCGAAGGCAGUUCACUAUGCUUGUAUUGACACUGAGGCACGAAAGCGUGGGGAUCAAACAGG